GACGAACGCUGGCGGCGUGCUUAACACAUGCAAGUCGAACGGGUCUGCCCUGUUUUUUGCGGGGUGGGUCAGUGGCGAACGGGUGAGUAACACGUGAGUAACCUGCCCCUCACUUCUGGAUAACCGCUUGAAAGGGUGGCUAAUACGGGGUGUUCUGGCUGUGCCGCAUGGUGUGGCUGGGAAAGAUUCACUUUUGUGGUGUUUUGGUGGGGGAUGGGCUCGCGGCCUAUCAGCUUGUUGGUGGGGUGAUGGCCUGCCAAGGCUUUGACGGGUAGCCGGCCUGAGAGGGUGGGCGGUCACACUGGGACUGAGAUACGGCCCAGACUCCUGCGGGAGGCAGCAGUGGGGGGUAUUGCACAAUGGGCGGAAGCCUGAUGUAGCGACGUCGCGUGAGGGAUGGAGGCCUUCGGGUUGUGAACCUUUUUCGCCGGUGAAGAAGGUCCUGCUCUUUGUGGUGGGGUUGACGGUAGCCGGGUUAUGAAGCGCCGGCUAACUACGUG
rnacentral:rRNA from 1 species